UACGAAGGGGGCUAGCGUUGCUCGGAAUCACUGGGCGUAAAGCGCACGUAGGCGGAUUGCUAAGUCAGGGGUGAAAUCCUGGAGCUCAACUCCAGAACUGCCUUUGAUACUGGCGACCUUGAGUUCCGGGAGAGGUGAGUGGAACUGCGAGUGUAGAGGUGAAAUUCGUAGAUAUUCGCAAGAACACCAGUGGCGAAGGCGGCUCACUGGCCCGGUACUGACGC
rnacentral:rRNA from 1 species